rnacentral:lncRNA from 1 species
GUGCGUAAAUGACAAAUUUGCCAUAAAUGUCCCGUAGACCUAAAUUAUAUGUACAUAUGUACAUAUAUAAAAUGUAUUUCUUACUUUACAGAAUAUUGAAGAAUUUUAUGCAAAAUUGCUGAUUUUUUGCAGAACUUGAAGCUUAAAUUUCGGUUAUAUUUUCAACGUGGGAAACUCGGCAACAUCGGAUAUACCCAACUAGCACACCAGGGAGCUGACAUGGAGAGCAGCCAACGAAUGUGAAUGGAAAAAUAAAAAGUUGCAAAAGCAGCAUUAGCGAAAUUUAUUUCACAUCCAUUAAAAUGGCCAAAAUAAAUGAAUAAAAAAACAAGAAGCAAAGCCAAAAUAUAACGAAAAUAACGCAUACACACAAAAUAUUAUAUCUUCAUGUAUGUAAAUAUACAUACAUAUGUAUGUAUACAUACUGAAGACUAUGGGGUAUUAUAACGCAAACCACUGUACUCGAAAAAUAACAGGGAGUAUACGCACAUGUAUACUUAUAUGCUACGUACGUACAUAAAUAUCCCCUUAUAUGAUGGAAGAAAAAGACAUUGUUGGAGAAGAAUCAACAUAGUGGCAGAGCGAAGGAAAUAAAAACUGAAAACUCAUCUUGCGCCGGCAGCAACAGCGGCGUUGGCAGCGGCGGCGGCCACGGCUACACAAUCAAACACAACACCAAGAAAGAGAAUUUUAUUAACGAAGGAGAUUGCGAAGGGGCAGGCGAGCAGAAAGUUUCAUGCUUACACAUGCGCAUACACAUAUAUUUGUACCUGAGCUUGUUAAUAAGUGUAUGUAUAUGCCUCAAUAAGUCGGGUCGAAAGAGGACAGCAGCGCUGAUAAACCCUUGGCUGCGAAUGAUAAAGCAAAGUAAAGUAAAAGACACGAAGUAAAGGAGAGGCAAAAUGCAAAAACUACUCAAACAAAAUGUAUAAACACGCUUGAAUGGCAACACCAGAAGUGGUCUUUGGUGGGUCUAUCACAGAACUCAAAAAGAAUGCAGAGAAAGGAAUGUUCGUUGUGGUGAACUGUGGUGUGAACCAACAAAUUUUUCUUUCGAACUCUGUAUGUAAAUAUGGUACAAAAUGUGUGUGAUGUUCGUCCAACUUUUGUGAGAACACAAAAAGUUCAUUCCAUUUUAUUGGUUGGUUGUGUGGAAUCAAAACUUAACCUCACAUAAGAUGAAAAUAUUUUCAACAAAUUUGUAAACAUGCGGGUAUAUUAUUAAAGUUUUAUGUUGUAUUGUACGCCAUCGAACAUGGGCACGUUCGACCUAUUUGUUGGAUGUUCGAUGUUGGCACUGUUGUAUUUUGAAGUUCUCUCGUUCGCUCUGGUCUCGAGAGUGAGCGAGCGUGUGAGCAAUGUAGAAGAAGAAGAAGCAACAUAGAAGAUGUGGAAUAAAAUUUUUUAGCAAGUUUCUUCGUCGGCGGUGCGUUUUGUGAUCCGGAUGAAGAAAUUGCGAAAAUUUCGUAAAAGUUGCAGAAUUUAUUGUAAAAAGGUAUAGUAAGCUCAUUCUCUACAUGAAUGCUUAACUAUAUGAUAUUCUUAAAACGUAAAGAAAUAAAUUAUAAAAAAUGAAUUUAACUUAAAAGUAACAUACUUAUGUGUUUGUGCUUUGAUAGAAAUAUAGAUUUAACUCGGUGCCUUAAAUAAUAAAAUGUUAUAAAAAAAAAUUUAAAAGUGCAAUGUUUCAAUAAAUAUAAUAUAAAAUAUUAUUUGUUAAUACUCCGAACUUACGGGAAUGCAGAAGAUGUUAUAAGAUUAAUUUAGGUUACUUCUACAUGUAAAGCGCUGUAGCAAUUUAGACUUUGGGUGUCCAAUAACCAGUAGAAUGUGAAUUCACAAAGUACAUACGAAUAAAAAAUACGGAUACGAAUUAAACGCCGAAUGGUAAAAUUGAUAUAAAUUAUCGCUUGUGUGUGUUUGAAAGUUUGUUCAACGAUUUAAUGUUUAAACUUCGUUAUGUGUAACUGUCAUAGAUUUCCUACCCUUUAACGUGUCGCCGGUGUACCAACAAACGCAAUCAGCUAAAGACAAUGGACCUAAUUUACGCACUUGGCUUCGUAUCCGCCUUUUCACUUGGCAAUUUCCGUUUCCGUAGAAUUAAAUCAAAAAUUAAAAAUUAUUAAAAUCCCAUCAC